UACGUAGGGGGCAAGCGUUGUCCGGAUUCAUUGGGCGUAAAGCGCGUGUAGGCGGCCAGGUAGGUCUGCUGUGAAAACUCGAGGCUCAACCUCGAGACGUCGGCGGAAACCAUCUGGCUAGAGUCCGGAAGAGGAGAGUGGAAUUCCUGGUGUAGCGGUGAAAUGCGCAGAUAUCAGGAAGAAUAUCCGUGGCGAAGGCGGCAUCCUGGACCGACAUUGACGCUGAUGAGCGAAAGCUAGGGGAGCAAACGGG
rnacentral:rRNA from 1 species